UUUGAAAUCUGGCGCCUUCGGUGUCCGAGUUGUAAUUUGAAGAAGGUAACUUUGGUUUUGGCUCUUGUCUAUGUUCCUUGGAACAGGACGUCACAGAGGGUGAGAAUCCCGUGCGAUGAGAUGCCCAAUUCCAUGUAAAGUGCUUUCGAAGAGUCGAGUUGUUUGGGAAUGCAGCUCUAAGUGGGUGGUAAAUUCCAUCUAAAGCUAAAUAUUGGCGAGAGACCGAUAGCGAACAAGUACAGUGAUGGAAAGAUGAAAAGAACUUUGAAAAGAGAGUGAAAAAGUACGUGAAAUUGUUGAAAGGGAAGGGCUUGAGAUCAGACUUGGUAUUUUGUAUGUCUUGCUUUCGGGUAGGGCCUCUGCAGUUUAUCGGGCCAGCAUCAGUUUGGAUGGUAGGAUAAUGACAUUGGAACGUAGCACUGCUUCGGUGGUGUGUUAUAGACUUUGUUGAUACUGCCUGUCUAGACUGAGGACUGCGUCUUUGACUAGGAUGCUGGCAUAAUGAUCCUAAGCACC
rnacentral:rRNA from 1 species